rnacentral:rRNA from 1 species
AUUGAACGCUGGCGGCAGGCUUAACACAUGCAAGUCGAGCGGAGAUGAGGUGCUUGCACCUUAUCUUAGCGGCGGACGGGUGAGUAAUGCUUAGGAAUCUGCCUAUUAGUGGGGGACAACAUUCCGAAAGGAAUGCUAAUACCGCAUACGUCCUACGGGAGAAAGCAGGGGAUCUUCGGACCUUGCGCUAAUAGAUGAGCCUAAGUCGGAUUAGCUAGUUGGUGGGGUAAAGGCCUACCAAGGCGACGAUCUGUAGCGGGGCUGAGAGGAUGAUCCGCCACACUGGGACUGGAGCACGGCCCAGACUCCUACGGGGGGAAGCAGUGGGGAAUAUGGGACAAGGGGGGGAACCCUGAUCCAGCCAUGCCGCGUGUGUGAAGAAGGCCUUAUGGUUGUAAAGCACUUUAAGCGAGGAGGAGGCUACUGAGACUAAUACUCUUGGAUAGUGGACGUUACUCGCAGAAUAAGCACCGGCUAACUCUGUGCCAGCAGCCGCCGUAAUAC